rnacentral:rRNA from 1 species
UGCCAGCCGCCGCGGUAAUACAGAGAGUGCGAACGUUGUUCGGAAUUACUGGGCUUAAAGCGCGCGCAGGCGGCAUUACAAGUGUCAGGUGAAAUCCCACAGCUCACCCGUGGAACUGCCCGGCAAACUGUAGAGCUAGAGUGUGGUAGGGGAGAGCAGAACUCAUGGUGGAGCGGUGAAAUGCGUAGAUAUCAUGAGGAAUACCGGUGGCGAAGGCGGCUCUCUGGUCCACAACUGACGCUGAGGUGCGAAAGCUAGGGUAGCGAACGGGAUUAGAUA